AAUAUGAAGGCGGGCUGGAACCUCUCGGGGUUACAGCCUUGCUGAAUUAUUCACCCUUGUCUUUUGCGUACUUCUUGUUUCCUUGGUGGGUUCGCCCACCACUAGGACAAACAUAAACCUUUUGUAAUUGCAAUCAGCGUCAGUAACAAAUUAAUAAUUACAACUUUCAACAACGGAUCUCUUGGUUCUGGCAUCGAUGAAGAACGCAGCGAAAUGCGAUAAGUAGUGUGAAUUGCAGAAUUCAGUGAAUCAUCGAAUCUUUGAACGCACAUUGCGCCCUUUGGUAUUCCAAAGGGCAUGCCUGUUCGAGCGUCAUUUGUACCCUCAAGCUUUGCUUGGUGUUGGGCGUCUUGUCUCUAGCUUUGCUGGAGACUCGCCUUAAAGUAAUUGGCAGCCGGCCUACUGGUUUCGGAGCGCAGCACAAGUCGCACUCUCUAUCAGCAAAGGUCUAGCAUCCAUUAAGCCUUUUUUUCAACUUUUGACCUCGGAUCAG
rnacentral:rRNA from 1 species